rnacentral:rRNA from 1 species
GACGAACGCUGGCGGCGCGCUUAAUACAUGCAAGUCGAACGAGAAGCCAGAGCUUGCUCUGGUGGAAAGUGGCGAACGGGUGAGUAACACGUGAGAAACCUGCCCAAAGAUUGGGAUAAGCCUUGGAAACGAGGUCUAAUACCAAAUACCUUCCUUUUAACACAUGUUAAAAAGAAGAAAAUAGCUCCGGCGCUUUGGGAUGGUCUCGCGAUCUAUCAGCUUGUUGGUGAGGUAACGGCUCACCAAGGCAUCGACGGAUAGCUGGUCUGAGAGGAUGUCCAGCCACAUUGGAACUGAGACACGGUCCAAACUCCUACGGAGGCAGCAGUAGGGAAUCUUGCACGAUGAGGGAAACCUUGAUGCAGCGACGCCGCGUGCGGGACGAGGCCUAGGUUGUAAACCGACGUUCUAGUAGGGACGGAAAAGUAGACGGUACCGUACA